rnacentral:rRNA from 1 species
UGUUUCGGCUAGGGGGUCAUCCCGACUUACCAACCCGAUGCAAACUACGAAUACCGAAGAAUGUUAUCACGGGAGACACACGGCGGGUGCUAACGUCCGUCGUGAAGAGGGAAACAACCCAGACCGCCAGCUAAGGUCCCAAAGUCAUGGUUAAGUGGGAAACGAUGUGGGAAGGCACAGACAGCCAGGAUGUUGGCUUAGAAGCAGCCAUCAUUUAAAGAAAGCGUAAUAGCUCACUGGUCGAGUCGGCCUGCGCGGAAGAUGUAACGGGGCUAAACCAUGCACCGAAGCUGCGGCAGCGACACUAUGUGUUGUUGGGUAGGGGAGCGUUCUGUAAGCCUGCGAAGGUGGCCUGUGAGGGCUGCUGGAGGUAUCAGAAGUGCGAAUGCUGACAUAAGUAACGAUAAAGCGGGUGAAAAGCCCGCUCGCCGGAAGACCAAGGGUUCCUGUCCAACGU